rnacentral:rRNA from 1 species
GAUGAACGCUGGCGGCGUGCCUAAUACAUGCAAGUCGAGCGAACAGACGAGGCGCUUGCUCCUCUCUCGUUAGCGGCGGACGGGUGUGUAACACGUGGAUAACCUACCUAUCAGUCUGGUAUAACUUCGGGACACCGGAGCUAAUACCGGAUAAUAUCUUGAUCCGCAUGGUUCAAUAGUGAAAGUCGGCUUUGCUGUCACUUAUCGCUGCAUCCGCGCCGCAUGAGAUGGUUGGUAAGUUAACGGCUUACCAAGGCUACCAUGCGUAAACGACGUGAGAGAGUGGUAGGCCACAUUGGAACGGAGACACGGACCAGAGGCCUAAGGGAGGGAGCAGUAGGGAAUCUGCCGCAAUGGGGGAAAGUCUGACGGAGCAAGGCCGCGUGAGUGAUGAAGGUGUUGGGAGCGGAAAAAUGUGUUAUGAGGGAAGAACAGAUGUGGAAGUAAAUGUGCACGGCUUGACGGUACUUAAUCAAAAAGCCACGGCUAACUACGUG